AUUGAACGCUGGCGGCAUGCCUUACACAUGCAAGUCGAACGGCAGCACGGGGGGCAACCCUGGUGGCGAGUGGCGAACGGGUGAGUAAUACAUCGGAAUGUACCCAGUAGUGGGGGAUAACUAGUCGAAAGAUUAGCUAAUACCGCAUACGCACUAUGGUGGAAAGCGGGGGAUCGCAAGACCUCGCGCUAUUGGAGCAGCCGAUGUCCGAUUAGGUAGUUGGUGGGGUAAAGGCCUACCAAGCCUGCGAUCGGUAACUGGUCUGAGAGGACGACCAGUCACACUGGGACUGAGACACGGCCCAGACUCCUACGGGAGGCAGCAGUGGGGAAUUUUGGACAAUGGGGGAAACCCUGAUCCAGCAAUGCCGCGUGUGUGACGAAGGCCUUCGGGUUGUAAAGCACUUUUGGCGGGUAACGAACGGCGCUUUCUAAUACAGAGCGCUAAUGACGGUACCGCAGAAUAAGACACCGGCUAACUACGUGCCAGCAGCCGCGGUAAAAG
rnacentral:rRNA from 1 species